UGGACCCUGCUCUCUGCAGGACAAGAUUGUGGGGUGUGCCAGAGCCCUUUAACGAGUGGCACACAGCCUCUCUGGGGGACUCAAGAAAGGGGGCUGGGAAAGGCUGUGGCCCACGUAGGAAGAAGGCACAUCUGAGUGGCUUCUGCAGCACAAAACCACCUGCUUACAUGUUUUCCUGUUCACCAAGAGGCUCUCUGGAAAUCAAAACGGGUCCACUUCCAGCUUUGGAUUGUGCCCCUGUUACUUAUAGCUUGUUGGUUUCACUAAAUGCUUAAAUGAGAAUAUAAUCACAAUACUUCCAAACUGAUUGUGUAACUGCUCUGAAGCUUGACGACGUACCCCCCAGCACUCACCAUAAUACAAGUGGCAUAUAUCUGGUAGGUUACCCAUUAAACGAGUGUGACAGAUCGUAUUUCUGGUUAAUUGUUAGUUCCUUAUGACCUUAGACUUUGCCUGUGUAUUUAGUAACACCAUCUGCUGUCUAGGGUAGCAAUACUACCUUUUUACGUGAGGAUUACUGUUCUUACUUCGUAAACAACAGUACUCAAUCAGAGGUGUUGAAACUCUACCAUAGAAUUAUUUAAAUUAUACUACCUAUGGAAAGCUUGAAGAGAGAGAAACUGAUUUUCUUCCCUGUGCUGGCUUUAUUGGCUUCACCUAAAAAUAUCAUAAUUUAUAUGCCAUAAUAAAAGCAUAAAAAUGAUUUCCAGGUUGUAUUCUUGGUCUGCAAGACGAAAUGUUUUAAAAGACCUCUGACUGUUAUGUCUGUCUUGUUUAGUUUCUCCCAGGCUAGUUUCUCAUAGCGAAUCAAUCUCU